rnacentral:rRNA from 1 species
UCAGGAUGAACGCUGGCGGCGUGCUUAAUACAUGCAAGUCGAACGAAGCACCUGCGACGGAUCCUCGGGGUGAAGAUGCUGUGACUGAGUGGCGGACGGGUGAGUAACGCGUGGGUAACCUGCCUAUGCAGGGGGACAACAGUUAGAAAUGACUGCUAAUACCGCAUAAGCGCACGAGACCGCAUGGUCAAGUGUGAAAAGAUUUAUCGGCAUAAGAUGGACCCGCGUCUGAUUAGGUAGUUGGUGAGGUAACGGCCCACCAAGCCGACGAUCAGUAGCCGACUUGAGAGAGUGAUCGGCCACAUUGGGACUGAGACACGGCCCAGACUCCUACGGGAGGCAGCAGUAGGGAAUAUUGCACAAUGGGGGAAACCCUGAUGCAAGCGACGCCGCGUGAGUGAUUGAAGUAUUUCGGUACGUAAAGCUCUAUCAGCAGGGAAGAUAAUGACGGUACCUGACUAAGAAGCCCCGGCUAACUACGUGCCAGCCGCUGC